AACGAACGCUGGCGGCAUGCCUAACACAUGCAAGUCGAACGAGACCUUCGGGUCUAGUGGCGCACGGGUGCGUAACGCGUGGGAACCUGCCCUUAGGUUCGGAAUAACUCCCCGAAAAGGGUGCGAAUACCGGAUAUUGUCUUCGGACCAAAGAUUGAUCGCCUUUGGAUGGGCCCGCGUUGGAUUAGCUUGUUGGUAGGGUAAAAGCCUACCAAGGCGACGAUCCAUAGCUGGUCUGAGAGGAUGAUCAGACACACUGGUACUGAGACACGGCCCAGACUCCUACGGGAAGCAGCAGUGGGGAAUACUGGACAAUGGGCGGAAGCAUGAUCCAGCAAUGCCGGGUGAGUGAUGAAGGCCUUAGGGUUGUAAAGCUCUUUUACCCGGGAUGAUAAUGACAUUACCGGCAGAAUAAGCUCCGGCUAACUCCGUG
rnacentral:rRNA from 1 species